GCUCCCUUCUGCAGCACAUAAUACAACUGGAACAGUGCAAAGAAGAUUAACAUGGCCCCUUGUGUGAGGAUGACAUGAAAAUUCAUAAAGCAGUCCAUGUUUUU
ensembl:snRNA U6 U6 spliceosomal RNA